UACGAAGGGGGCUAGCGUUGUUCGGAUUUACUGGGCGUAAAGCGCACGUAGGCGGAUUCGUAAGUCAGGGGUGAAAUCCCGGGGCUCAACCUCGGAACUGCCUUUGAUACUGCGGGUCUUGAGUCCGAUAGAGGUGGGUGGAAUUCCUAGUGUAGAGGUGAAAUUCGUAGAUAUUAGGAAGAACACCGGUGGCGAAGGCGGCCCACUGGAUCGGUACUGACGCUGAGGUGCGAAGCGUGGGAGCAAACAGG
rnacentral:rRNA from 1 species